rnacentral:rRNA from 1 species
UGAAAUUAAAUUAAAUAGCUGCAGUAAUUUAACUGUACAAAGGUAGCAUAAUAAAUAGUUUCUUAAUUAGAAACUAGAAUGAAUGGUUGGAUGAAAUAUAGACUGUCUCAAAUUUAAAUUUUUAUAAUUUUAUUUUUAGUUAAAAAUCUAAAAUUUUUUUAAAAGACGAGAAGACCCUAUAGAUUUUUAUAAUUUUAAUAAAAAAUUAAAUUUACUUUAUUAAUUUUUUUAAAAAAAUUAUUUAAUUGGGGUGAUUAUUAAAUUUAAAAAACUUUUUUUUUUUUUAAC